rnacentral:rRNA from 1 species
UACGUACUGUGCGAACGUUAUUCGGAAUCACUGGGCUUAAAGGGUGUGUAGGCGGCUGAUUAAGUAGGGUGUGAAAGGCCUCGGCCUAACCGGGGCACUGCGCUCUAAACUGAUCGGCUUGAGUGAGAUAGGGGUGUGCGGAACUUCCAGUGGAGCGGUGAAAUGUGUUGAUAUUGGAAGGAACGCCGGUGGCGAAAGCGGCACACUGGGUCUUAACUGACGCUGAGACACGAAAGCCAGGGGAGCAAACGGG